rnacentral:rRNA from 1 species
GACGAACGCUGGCGGCGUGCUUAACACAUGCAAGUCGAACGAAGAGCGAUGGAAGCUUGCUUCUAUCAAUCUUAGUGGCGAACGGGUGAGUAACGCGUAAUCAACCUGCCCUUCAGAGGGGGACAACAGUUGGAAACGACUGCUAAUACCGCAUACGAUCUGACCUCGGCAUCGAGGAUAGAUGAAAGGUGGCCUCUAUUUAUAAGCUAUCACUGAAGGAGGGGAUUGCGUCUGAUUAGCUAGUUGGAGGGGUAACGGCCCACCAAGGCGAUGAUCAGUAGCCGGUCUGAGAGGAUGAACGGCCACAUUGGGACUGAGACACGGCCCAGACUCCUACGGGAGGCAGCAGUGGGGAAUCUUCCGCAAUAGACGAAAGUCUGACGGAGCAACGCCGCGUGAGUGAUGACGGCCUUCGGGUUGUAAAGCUCUGUUAAUCGGGACGAAAGGCCUUCUUGCGAAUAGUUAGAAGGAUUGGCGGUACCGGAAUAGAAAGCCACGGCUAACUACGUG